AUUGAACGCUGGCGGCAGGCCUAACACAUGCAAGUCGAACGAGUGGCGGAAGGGUGAGUAAUGUCUGGGAAACUGCCCGAUGGAGGGGGAUAACUACUGGAAACGGUAGCUAAUACCGCAUACCAUCGGAUGUGCCCAGAUGGGAUUAGCUUGUAGGUGAGGUAACGGCUCACCUAGUCGACGAUCCCUAGCUGGUCUGAGAGGAUGACCAGCAACCCUGGAACUGAGACACGGUCCAGCCGCCUCCGUGAGUGAGCAGUGGGGAAUUUUGCACAAUGGGCGCAAGCCUUAUGCAGCCAGGCCGCGUGUAUGAAGAAGGCGUUCGGGUUUUAAAGUACUUUCAGCGGGGAGGCGUUACCCGCAGAAGAAGCACCGGCUAACUCCGUGCCAGCAGCCGCGGUAAUAC
rnacentral:rRNA from 1 species